AAACUUUAAAGCUGUAAAUAAAUAAUUAUAAUGAUAUUGUUAUUUUUAUAACUAUGACGAUAAAUGAUGCGAGUAAUAGGCGAAUUGGACCCGGGGGCGGUACCCGGCGCCUCCACCAAUACACAUAUGGGGGCGAAAUAGGAUCGACAAGCGUUGAAAGGCGUAUUCUUUCGUUCGGUUUGGUUCCACCGCAAAGGGCUAAAUUAUAAAUGCAAACGACAAUAGUCGUGGGGUUGCUUUAGCAGCUUAAGCUGUUAAAAAUACCAUGCAGAAUUAGUCCUAAAUUGUUCACGCUUUUUAGGCGGGGUUUGAAGGCACCUGGCAACAGAAGCCUUCGUA
rnacentral:tmRNA from 1 species